rnacentral:rRNA from 1 species
GGGCCCGCACAAGCGGUGGAGUAUGUGGUUUAAUUCGAUGCAACGCGAAGAACCUUACCAGGGUUUGACAUCCUGCGAAUUUCUGGGAAACCGGAAAGUGCCUUCGGGAGCGCAGUGACAGGUGGUGCAUGGCUGUCGUCAGCUCGUGUCGUGAGAUGUUGGGUUAAGUCCCGCAACGAGCGCAACCCACGUCUUUAGUUGCCAGCAUUUAGUUGGGCACUCUGAAAGAACUGCCAGUGAUAAGCUGGAGGAAGGUGGGGAUGACGUCAAGUCCUCAUGGCCCUUACGUGUUGGGCUACACACGUGCUACAAUGGUAUCUACAACAGGAAGCAAAACGGCGACGUUAAGCAAAUCCUCAAAAGAUACCUCAGUUCGGAUUGCACUCUGCAACUCGAGUGCAUGAAGCUGGAAUUACUAGUAAUCG